GUUCUUAGUUGACGGUCACACAGCGCAGCGAGCUGCGUUUUUCGUUGAUAAUUUUUAAAUUUAUUUAUUAGUUUAUUGGUUGGAAAUAGAGCUGCCCCCCAACUGCCCGCUGACCACGGAAUUAUCGGUCCGGUCCACCGCCCUCCGCUUUCACACACCAUUCGGCAAUCGAUAUAUACGCUGACGGUAAUUGGAGAACGUUUUUUCCAUUUUAUCUCCACCUUGUCCGCACUUCGUUUUGUGCUCUCUUUGUGCGCUGCCUCCGCUUAACAUUUGGGCCUGUAAGAAACAUAUAAGCAGAACGGCCCGCCGUGUGUGCCUGUGAAAUUGGUUAAAUUACGUCCAGUGGAAUGGGCCAAUGGCCAAAAUGCAAUAAGAAUAUGUGUGUGCAAUAAUAAUAGGGAACGGUACGGUACGGUGCCCCAAAACAUGAAAAUGGUGCUAGACGCUCCUAACGCCGUGCCGAGCUGGCAUAUUUUGCUUUGCGACGCCGUCGGCGCCGUUUUUCCCGGCCGCGAACUCUGCGCGAGGAAUUUACAACAAAAACAAUGAAUUAAAUGGUAUUUAAAUUGUCCAUACAAUGCGGUUUGGAAAUGCGAAAUUGUGCCUAACUUGCCCGAUGCAAACGAAUGUUUCUCUUUGAAGGCCCUGUCUUAAUGACGUCACAAGCGUAGCAGAGUGCAACAGACAGACAACAAUGACCGAUGAGCAUAAAAGUAACAUUAACAGUAACAGCAGUAACUCCAGCAACAACAACAACAACAGCAGCAGCAGUAAUAACGACAACAACAGCAACGACGACGCAGCAAGUAGCAGCAACAGCAAAAACAACAACGCCAGCAACGAGAGCAGCCACAGCAACAACAAUACUAGUAGCAUAAUUGCAGAGGCGGCCGCCAAGUUUCUACUGAAAAAUGGCCUAAACGGUAGUAGCAGCAGCAGUAGCAGCACCAGCUUUCCCCCUCUGCCACCGCCUCUGCCCGCCAACUUAAGCAGGACGACCACGCCCACGACAACGACAACGCCCUCAUCCUCCAGCUCCACCGCCUCAAAUGGCUUUUUGCCGCAUGCCAAGACGCCCAAAAGUAGUAGCAUUAUGGCUGCGUCCGCCGCAGUGGCAGCCAGCGUCGUUGGAGCUACUGCGUCCAAGCCCACCAUCGAUGUCCUGGGCGGCGUCCUGGACUACAGCUCCUUGGGCGGAGCUGCAACAGGCUCACUGCCCACCACUGCAGCAGUAGCGGCGGCAGCGGGAACAGCGAAGAUCGGCAAGGGAAGCAACUCCGGCGGAAGCUUUGAUAUGGGCAGGACACCAAUAUCGACGCACGGCAACAACAGCUGGGGCGGCUACGGUGGCCGUUUGCAGUUCUUCAAAGAUGGCAAAUUCAUAUUGGAACUGGCGCGGUCCAAGGAUGGCGAUAAAAGCGGCUGGGUCUCGGUCACGCGCAAGACCUUCCGCCCUCCAUCGGCGGCCACCUCCGCAACUGUGACCCCAACGUCCGCGGUGACCACAGCGUAUCCAAAGAACGAGAAUUCCACAUCGCUGAGCUUUUCGGACGACAACAGCUCGAUACAAUCCUCUCCUUGGCAGCGAGACCAGCCCUGGAAACAGUCCCGACCCAGGCGCGGCAUAUCUAAGGAGCUGUCGCUCUUCUUCCACCGCCCCAGGAACAGUACGCUUGGACAGGCUGCUCUCCGGACAGCCGCUCGCAAACGACGGCGCCCCCAUGAGCCGCUGACCACCAGCGAGGAUCAGCAGCCGAUUUUCGCGACGCCAGUCAAGGCGGAAAAUGGAGACGAUACUCUUAAAGCGGAAGCUGCAGAGGCCGUUGAAAUUGAAAAUGUUGCUGUGGCGGACACAUCCACAAAUGAGAUUAAAAUUGAAAAACCGGAAACGAUCAAAGGCGAGGAUGAUGCUGAACGGCUCGAAUUGGAGCCUAAGAAGGCGGCUAGCGAUGAUAGCGAGUCAAAAGAAGCAUCGCCUGGUCAGCAGGUGGAAACACAACCAAAAGAUGAGACUGUUGAGAAGAUGAAUACGAGCGAGGAUGAGGAACCCAUGACAGAGCCUCCCAGAAUCACGAAUGCCGUAAAUGGUGACCUAAACGGCGAUUUAAAGGCGAGCAUUGGGAAACCCAAAUCCAAAUCAAAGCCAAAAGCCAAGUUGAGCAGCAUCAUUCAGAAGCUUAUCGAUGGCGUACCAGCACGGCUUGAGCAAAUGUCGAAGACAUCAGCUGUGAUCGCAUCGACAACGACGCCUUCAGAGCGCAUUGGUGGCGGUCUAAGUCACGCCUUGACGCACAAAGUUUCUCCACCAUCAUCGGCGACAGCAGCCGGCCGACUAGUCGAGUACCACACCCAGCACGUGUCGCCAAGGAAGAGAAUCCUGCGCGAGUUCGAAAAGGUGUCGCUGGAGGACAACGGAUGCUUAAACAACGGCAGCGGUGGAACUACUAGCGGUGGUGCAGGAGGAAAACGUAGUCGGGCUAAGGGAACUUCGACAUCGUCACCGGCUGGCAAGGCGUCACCAAUGAACUUGGCACCACCACAAGGAAAGCCCAGCCCCAGUCCCGGCUCCAGUUCAUCCAGCACUUCGCCAGCGACCUUGUCAACGCAGCCAACGCGGCUCAACAGCUCUUACAGUAUCCACUCACUGCUAGGUGGGAGCAGUGGCAGCGGUAGCUCAUCCUCCUCCUCCUCUGGCAAGAAGUGCGGCGAUCAUCCGGCAGCUAUUAUCAGCAAUGUGCACCAUCCACAGCACUCAAUGUACCAGCCCAGUUCCUCGAGCUAUCCACGCGCCCUGCUCACCUCGCCAAAGUCGCCCGAUGUGAGCGGCAGCAAUGGCGGGGGUGGAAAAUCGCCCUCGCAUGCGGGAACCAAGAAGCGUUCGCCACCGUACUCGGCGGGAUCACCCGUAGACUAUGGCCACUCCUUCUACAGGGAUCCCUAUGCGGCAGCAGGUCGUCCUUCCACAUCGGGCUCAGCAUCGCAGGACCUGUCGCCGCCGCGCUCUUCCCCAGCAUCGCCUGCCACGACGCCGCGUACUGUGCCCAAAAAGACUGCAUCGAUCCGACGCGAGUUCGCUUCACCGUCGGCCAGCAGCAGUAGCUGUCCCUCGCCCGGCGACCGGAGUGCAUCGCCCCCGGAACGGCGGCACAUGCAGCAGCAGCCGCACCUACAGCGUAGCUCGCCGCUGCACUACUAUAUGUACCCGCCACCGCCCCAGGUAAACGGGAACGGAUCGGCCGGAAGUCCGACCUCGGCGCCGCCCACGUCGAACAGCAGUGCAGCUGCAGUAGCGGCGGCAGCAGCGGCCGCUGCCGCAUACAUUCCCUCGCCUUCGAUAUACAACCCGUACAUAUCCACACUGGCGGCGUUGAGGCACAAUCCGCUGUGGAUGCACCACUAUCAGACAGGUGCGUCGCCCCUGCUGUCGCCACAUCCACAACCCGGUGGCUCAGCGGCCGCCGCUGCUGCAGCUGCUGCUGCGAGAUUAUCGCCACAAUCGGCGUAUCACGCGUUUGCGUAUAACGGAGUGGGAGCGGCUGUUGCCGCUGCAGCAGCUGCCGCCGCCUUCGGACAACCGGCGCCCAGUCCCCACACGCAUCCGCACUUGGCUCAUCCGCACCAGCAUCCGCACCCGGCUGCACUGACCACCCACCACUCUCCCGCUCACCUGGCCACGCCAAAACUGACUGAUAGUAGUACCGACCAAAUGUCUGCAACGUCCAGUCAUCGCACCGCCUCCACUUCGCCGAGCAGCUCGAGCGCAUCGGCCUCCUCGGCGGCCACUUCGGGCGCCAGCUCCUCCGCAAUGUUUCAUACUAGUAGCCUAAGGAAUGAACAAAGUUCAGACUUACCACUGAAUCUGUCAAAGCACUGAGACAUACACACGCCCCAGCUGCCCCAGUUUCUGGGCCAACCAUUCGAGUUAAGAACAUUUUCGCACUAGUAGCGCUUAAGACGACAUUCAAUACACGUUCUCACUUAGCGCCGAACAUUUAAAAAUCGCAUACAGAAAGAGAUGAAAAACUCAACUAUGUUUUUAAACCCGUUCCAGAACUCUUUAUACAAUCAGUUAAGAAAUUUUAUUUUCGACAAGCUGGUUAAAAUAUGCAAAGGAAUUUUAUUCUAUGCCGACUAAUGGAAAAAAAUACUAAUAAAAACAUUUUCUAUAGGAUGUAUAAAAUGCAAGUCUAAAAGAAUCUCAAAAAAGAGUUACGUUUUUUUUCAUCAAAACAUUUCCUUGAAACAGACUGAACCUGAAUUUUUUUUAGAAAAAAAAAAAUGAAAAACUUAGUUACGAAUCGCAGAAUAUAACAUUUUAAAGUAUAUUUAACAAAACUACAAGAACAGAUUUUUAUAAAAUGCUUGUGCCUUUCAAAAUGGAAACGGAACUAGGGAUACAAAAAUUAAUAUUAAAAAGAAAAUCAAGUUUACUAUAAAAACAUUUAUAUGCAAGCAUGUGCAGGUAUUCUAUGGUGAAAACUUAAGAAUUUCUUUAUAUCGUGGUCCAAAAUGCAAUUGACAGCAAUUUGCACUAAGCAGAUUGUAUACGACACCAACUUUUUAAGCACCUUUAAAAAUGUAUCUUUUUAUUAUUUCGGAAUAAUCAUUCUAAAAUAGUAAAAAGAUACAAGCAAUCCAAAACCAUACAACUCGUCUGUACUUCAAAUCAAAAAGAUUUUUGUCUUACAUUUUUUGAGACUGUAAAAAGUAAAAUAUAUCUAUACUCAAUUCGAAGAAUAUGUUGAAGUUUGAAUUUGAAUCCUCUGCGGAUCUAAAUUUAACCUCCACGAUUGUUGUCACCAUCAAAAAUAUUGUAUAACUUUGCAUAGUGCAAAUUCGCUGUCAGUAGCUGUCCAAUCAAAAACAAAUAAAAUGUACAAAAAAUCCACAUAUAUACGACAAAUUUACAAGAAACGGAAAGCAAAAAGAUCCUAAGCAGACAAUUUCAAACCGGAACUCGUACAACUGAAACUGAUACAAAUAAAAAACAUAUUCCUAACGCAAAAA